rnacentral:rRNA from 1 species
UACGUAGGGAGCAAGCGUUGUCCGGAAUUACUGGGCGUAAAGGGUGCGUAGGCGGCAUGGCAAGUCAGAUGUGAAAUCCCCGGGCUUAACUCGGGUGGUGCAUUUGAAACUGCCAAGCUUGAGUGCAGGAGAGGAAAGCGGAAUUCCUAGUGUAGCGGUGAAAUGCGUAGAUAUUAGGAGGAACACCAGUGGCGAAGGCGGCUUUCUGGACUGUAACUGACGCUGAGGCACGAAAGCGUGGGGAGCAAACAGG